rnacentral:lncRNA from 1 species
GGUCUGUAAAGUCGAUCGAUCUCCCAGCGGUAUUUACUGAGCGCCUCCUGCGCGCGGAGCCCCGGACUAAGCGCUUGAGAGAGGAUAAUCCGACAGAAUUGGCCCCGACGAGUUUACGGUCUAAAACCCUCGUGACUUCUCCGUGGACCCAGAUUCAGGCAUUCGGGAGUGGAAAAUUACUUUCCUGGGCCGAAUCCUCAAAGGGCAAACAUGGCGGGGUAAGGCCCAGCCGGAAGAGGAUCCCAGAAACGACGCCCCGCGGAUUCGGCUCAGGUUUUUCCGGAUCGCCACUCAGACCGGAAGCCCCAUGCGGGACGGGGACCGUGUCCGACCUGAUUCACUUAGACCCGCCCGGGACGCUUAGAACGGUGUCCGAAGCAUAGUAAACUCUUCACGAAUCCCAUUUUUUAAAAAAAAGCCCCCUUGGGAGCCGGCGGGGAGUUCCGAGAUUCCAGCUGGUUUGCCUCAUGGCCUAGCGGCAGGAGCACGGGCUUGGGAGUCAGAGGUCGUGGGUUCUAAUCCCAGAAUCGUCGCUCACCUGCCGCGUGACCUCGGACAAGUCGCUUCCCUUCUCUGGGCCUCACUUCCCUCAUCUGGAAAAUGGGGAUUCAAUGCCUGUUGCUCCUCCUUGGUCUGGGAGCCCCAUGUGGGACCUAAUUAUCUUCUCUUUACCCCAGCACCUAGUACAAUGCUCGGCACCCAGUAAGCGCUUAAAAGUUACCACUGUUAUUAUUAUAAUUAUCUGACAGAAUCGGCAGCCGUGAUGCCUGCGCACUUAACAGAUCCCGUAAUUACAGAAUGGGACCGUGAGCCCCCCUGAUUUGCUUGUAUCCACCCUAGUGCUCAGUCCGGUGCCUGGCACACGCUAAGCGCUUACCAAACGCCAUCAUCAUCAUUCAUUAUUAUUAUCAUUAUUACAAGCAGCGGUCAAUCCGACGGACCAGCCCGGAGACGGCCUCGCGGAAAACAAAACCCCGUCUGAAUGACCUCGGGCCAGGGCGGGUCGGCCCUUCCGUGUCGCUUUCUCUUCCGCCCCCCCUCCCCCCCCCCCCGCCUUUGGCUCCGGCGUCCACUUCCAGGAAGAAUGCCGAUGAACACUCGCCUGGUCUCUUCGUGACUCUUCGGAGCCGACAGAUGAGCAAACCGAGGCCCAGAGAAGCCGGGCGACGAGCUUACGUCGAUCCAUCGACAGGGUUCGCGGGUAAGGGGUGCUGCGGAGGGCCACUUCCGUCCACGGGUUUGGUUGUUCAGAGACCCACCGGCGGCGUGGCUCGGUGGAAAGAGCCUGGGCUUGGGAGUCACGGGUCGUGGGUUCGAAUCCCGGCGGAGCCACCUGUCAGCCGUGUGACCGCGGGCGAGUCGCUUCACUUCUCUGUGCCUCAGUGACCUCAUCUGUAAGAUGGGGAUUCACUGUGAGCCUCCCGUGGGACAACCUGAUUAUCCGGUAUCUACCCCAGCGCUGAAAAGAUACCAGCGUCAUCAUUAUUAUUCUUCAAAACUCCUCCACGUAUUCAUUCGCUCAAUAGUAUUCAUCGAGCGCUUGCUAUGUGCAGAGCACUGUACUAAGCGCUUGGAAUGGACACUUCAA